UACGAAGGGGGCUAGCGUUGUUCGGAAUUACUGGGCGUAAAGCGCACGUAGGCGGGUUGUUAAGUCAGGGGUGAAAUCCCGGAGCUCAACUCCGGAACUGCCUUUGAUACUGGCAAUCUAGAGACUGGAAGAGGUUAGUGGAAUUCCCAGUGUAGAGGUGAAAUUCGUAGAUAUUGGGAAGAACACCAGUGGCGAAGGCGACUACCUGGACUGAUACUGACACUGAGGUGCGAAAGCGUGGGGAGCAAACAGGAUUAGAAACCCGUGUAGU
rnacentral:rRNA from 1 species